CCUCUCUCAGGGUCACACCUGGAGAGUUUCCAGUACUCUACCAGUCUCAACUAUGAGAGGGAGAGUCAAGCAGAGGUAUACCCAUUCCAUUCCUAGCUAGGGCAAUGGCUAGUGAGUGGCAGACCAUCUGCUACAAGU